UACGAGGGGGGCAAGCGUUGUUCGGAUUUAUUGGGCGUAAAGGGUGCGUAGGCGGUUUGGCAAGUCUUAUGUGAAAUCUUCGGGCUCAACCCGAAGUCUGCAUAAGAAACUGCCGGGCUUGAGUAUGGGAGAGGUGAGUGGAAUUUCCGGUGUAGCGGUGAAAUGCGUAGAUAUCGGAAGGAACACCUGUGGCGAAAGCGGCUCACUGGACCAUAACUGACGCUGAGGCACGAAAGCUAGGGGAGCAAACAGG
rnacentral:rRNA from 1 species